CGGAGCGUGGCGCAGCCCGGUAGCGCACGUGCAUGGGGUGCACGGGGUCGCAGGUUCAAAUCCUGUCGCUCCGA
rfam:Candidatus Marinimicrobia bacterium TMED144 87089, whole genome shotgun sequence.